AUUCACCUGGAUGGGAAAAUUCCAUCCCAAAAUUCACCUGAUGGGGGAAAUGACAGCCCCAAAUUCACCCCAAGUUCGAGGAGAUCCUCAAGCGGCUGCGCCUGCAGAAACGGGGCACAGGUGGGACCCCAAAACCACCUGGGCUGGGAGGGGACACCCCAAAAUUCACCUGAGGUAGGGCAGGAACCCCCAAAAUUCACCCCAAGUUCGAGGAGAUCCUCAAGCGGCUGCACCUGCAGAAACGGGGCACAAGUGGGACCCCAAAGCCACCUGGGCAGGGAGGGGACACCCCCAAAUUCACCUGAAGGAGAGAAUCCCAUCCCAAAAUUCACCUGAGGUAGGGCAGGAACCCCCCAAAUUCACCCCAAGUUCGAGGAGAUCCUCAAGCGGCUGCGCCUGCAGAAGCGGGGCACAGGGGGGGUGGACACGGCCGCAGUGGGACCAUGGAGCCAUUGAGCAGUGGAUGGAUGGGGAUGGAUGGGGAUGGACAGGGGAUGGACAGCAGUGGUCAGCAGUGGUCAGCAGUGGUCAGCGGUGUCCGGAGCUGUCCGGAGCUCACUGACCACCCCUGUGUCCAUCUGUCCAUCUGUCCGUGUGUCCAGGGGGGGUGGACACGGACACAGUGGGACCAUGGAGCCAUCAGACACUGGAUGGACACUGGGCAGUCAGGGGAUGGACAGGAGUGGUCAGGGGAUGGACAG